UACGUAGGGUGCAAGCGUUAAUCGGAAUUACUGGGCGUAAAGCGUGCGCAGGCGGCUUUGCAAGACAGAUGUGAAAUCCCCGGGCUUAACCUGGGAACUGCAUUUGUGACUGCAUGGCUGGAGUGCGGCAGAGGGGGAUGGAAUUCCGCGUGUAGCAGUGAAAUGCGUAGAUAUCUGGAGGAAUACCGGUGGCGAAGGCGGCAUCCUGGACCGACAUUGACGCUGAGGAGCGAAAGCUAGGGGAGCAAACGGG
rnacentral:rRNA from 1 species